AGCUAGGACUAGGAGAGAAGUGGUUAAGGUCACAUACUGGUGAGAUACUGAUUUUGAAGGAGGGCGAGAGAAGUUUAAAUAUCGCUGCCUUCUCACUCUAUCAAGUAGAUGUUUCUUAUGCAGGUCUUCGUGCAAAUUUGUAAUCUUGAAUAAGUUUCUUUCUGAUAUAAUAAAACGAG